UACGUAGGGAGCAAGCGUUGUCCGGAAUCAUUGGGCGUAAAGCGCGCGUAGGUGGUCCCGUAAGUCCGCUGUGAAAGUCAAAGGCUCAACCUUUGAAAGCCGAUGGAUACUGCUGGGCUAGAGUCCGGAAGAGGCGAGUGGAAUUCCUGGUGUAGCGGUGGAAUGCGCAGAUAUCAGGAGGAACACCGAUAGCGAAGGCAGCUCGCUGGGACGGUACUGACGCUGAGGCGCGAAAGCGUGGGGAGCGAACAGG
rnacentral:rRNA from 1 species